UCAAAUGAGAAUGAAAUGAGAUACUUUAGGUUAUAUGUUUUUACCUUCGGUUUUUUGGUAUCUGAAGUAACUACAUAUGAUCGAGAGUGCCUCUGUUUCUUGGCCACAUUCGAC
rnacentral:ncRNA from 2 species